rnacentral:rRNA from 1 species
GAUGAACGCUGGCGGCGUGCCUAAUACAUGCAAGUCGAGCGAACAGACGAGGAGCUUGCUCCUCUGACGUUAGCGGCGGACGGGUGAGUAACACGUGGAUAACCUACCUAUAAGACUGGGAUAACUUCGGGAAACCGGAGCUAAUACCGGAUAAUAUAUUGAACCGCAUGGUUCAAUAGUGAAAGACGGUUUUGCUGUCACUUAUAGAUGGAUCCGCGCCGCAUUAGCUAGUUGGUAAGGUAACGGCUUACCAAGGCAACGAUGCGUAGCCGACCUGAGAGGGUGAAUCGCCACACCGGAAAUGAGACACGGUCCCGACCUCGAAGGGAGGCAGCAGGAGGGAAUCUUUCGCAAGGGGGGAAAGGCUGAAGGGGCAAAGCCCGGGGAGGGAUGAAGGGUUUUGGAUCCGAAAACUCUGUUUUUUGGGAAGAAAAAAAGUGUUAGUAACCGUGCACAUCUUGACGGGACCUAAUCAAAAAGCCCCGGCUAACUCCGUG